rnacentral:rRNA from 1 species
UACAGAGGUGGCAAGCGUUGUUCGGAAUUACUGGGCGUAAAGGGCGCGUAGGCGGUCUUCUAAGUCUUGUGUGAAAUCCCUCGGCUCAACUGAGGAACUGCACGGGAUACUGGAAGACUUGAGUUCGGGAGAGGGAAGCGGAAUUCCGGGUGUAGCGGUGAAAUGCGUAGAUAUCAGGAAGAACACCCGUGGCGAAGGCGGCUCUCUGGGACGGUACUGACGCUGAGACGCGAAAGCGUGGGGAGCGAACAGG